CAGGCCUACACAUGCAAGUCGAGCGCUCGUAGCGAUAUCGAGAGCGGCAGACGGGAGGUAACAGGUGGGAACGCGCCCUUCGUGUUCGGAAUAACUCAGGGGAACUGAGCUAAUACCGGAUACGCCCUAACGGGGAAAGAUUUAUCGCCGAAGGACGGCCCGCGUCCGAUUACCUUGUUGGUGAGGUAAUGGCUCACGGAGGCGCGAUCGGUAGCUGGUCUAAGAGGAUGAUCAGUCUCACUGGGACUGACACCGGGCCACACUCCUACGGGAGGCAGGAGUGGGGAAUAUUGGACAAUGGGGCGAGCCUGAUCCAACCAUGCCGCGUGGGUGAUGAAGGCCCUACGGUUGAAAGCCCUUACAGACGGGGAACAUAAUGAUGGUACCCGGAUAAGAAGCC
rnacentral:rRNA from 1 species